rfam:Helianthus annuus linkage group 2, whole genome shotgun sequence.
AUCCCAUGAUGAGGGAAAUUUUUAAUCAUCAUGUUAAACCGCUCAAAAGCUUCAUGAAACAUUUCACCUUGUUAUUGUUGGAAGCUUCACAAACUCCUUCUUGCAUCC